rnacentral:rRNA from 1 species
UACGAAGGGGGCUAGCGUUGUUCGGAAUCACUGGGCGUAAAGGGCGCGUAGGCGGCCAUAUAAGUCGGGGGUGAAAGCCUGUGGCUCAACCACAGAAUUGCCUUCGAUACUGUAUGGCUCGAGACCGGAAGAGGUAAGUGGAACUGCGAGUGUAGAGGUGAAAUUCGUAGAUAUUCGCAAGAACACCAGUGGCGAAGGCGGCUUACUGGUCCGGUUCUGACGCUGAGGCGCGAAAAGCGUGGGGAGCAAACAGG